CUACGGGCGGCAGCAGUGGGGAAUAUUGCACAAUGGGCGAAAGCCUGAUGCAGCGACGCCGCGUGGAGGAUGAAGGUUUUCGGAUUGUAAACUCCUGUUAAGUGGAAAGAAAUCUUUGUAAUUAAUAUGUACAGAGGAUGACGGUACCACUAGAGAAAGCUCCGGCUAACUUCGUGCCAGCAGCCGCGGUAAUACGAGGGGGGCAAGCGUUACUCGGAAUCACUGGGCGUAAAGAGCGUGUAGGCGGAUUAAAAAGUCAGAAGUGAAAUCCUAUAGCUUAACUAUAGAACUGCUUCUGAAACUCUUAAUCUAGAAUAUGGGAGAGGUAGAUGGAAUUUCUGGCGUAGGGGUAAAAUCCGUAGAGAUCAGAAGGAAUACCGAUUGCGAAGGCGAUCUACUAGAACAUUAUUGACGCUGAGACGCGAAAGCGUGGGGAGCAAACAGGAUUAGAUACCCCCGUAGUC
rnacentral:rRNA from 1 species